rnacentral:sRNA from 1 species
UUGGGGUUGUGCUCCAGGGAUGGCCUUUCACAUAGACUGCAGUGUAAAUGACACCCUCUGGAAUGUGCAUUGCAGGGCCUUGCUUAGUGGUAGGGAAUGAUUUCCAUCACUUCUGUGAGAUUCUCCUUCCCAAUAAGUCUUCCUGUGACUUCCCUAUUUCCCCCAUCCCAGAUUAACUCAACAGUGUCACUCCCUGGGGGUGGGUCUGGCCCCCCUGAAGAUGUGAAGCCACCAGUCUUAGGGGUCCGGGGCCUGCACUGUCCACCCCCUCCAGGUGGCCCUGGGGCUGGCAAACGGCUAUGUGCAAUCUGCGGGGACAGAAGCUCAGGCAAACACUACGGGGUUUACAGCUGUGAGGGUUGCAAGGGCUUCUUCAAACGCACCAUCCGCAAGGACCUUACAUACUCUUGCCGGGACAACAAAGACUGCACAGUGGACAAGCGCCAGCGGAACCGCUGUCAGUACUGCCGCUAUCAGAAGUGCCUGGCCACUGGCAUGAAGAGGGAGGCAGUACAGGAGGAGCGUCAGCGGGGAAAGGACAAGGAUGGGGAUGGGGAGGGGGCUGGGGGAGCCCCGGAGGAGAUGCCUGUGGACAGGAUCCUGGAGGCAGAGCUUGCUGUGGAACAGAAGAGUGACCAGGGCGUUGAGGGUCCUGGGGGAACCGGGGGUAGCGGCAGCAGUGUGAGUGUUGGGGUCAAUCCACUCUCCUUCGUGAUGGGGGUUGGGGGAGGCAGUCUAGGUCUGUUCUAUAUCCCCUCCCCCUCCUUUCCCCUUAUAACCUUCCUAACACUACUCGGGGCUGGAAGUGCUGCCAAACAAGGUCUUUCAAACAUCUGAGGUGGAUGUGAUAGCUCCUUCUGUCUCCACUCCCCAAACAACCCACUGGCAGAACCACAAGCAUGUCCCAAAUAAAUAAUUGUUUGCACGAAUGCCAGAAGAGAAGACUCACAGGGAUUGGUUUGGAUGGGGCACACAAGAAGACUAUAUGUAAGGAGGGGGUGUCAAAAGCCUCUUACAAGGGGGCUCCCAGCGUAUCUCAAAAUCUUCCAUAACUCUUACCCCCGUCCCCUGCAGCCAAAUGACCCGGUGACUAACAUCUGUCAGGCAGCUGACAAACAGCUAUUCACGCUUGUUGAGUGGGCGAAGAGGAUCCCACACUUUUCCUCCUUGCCUCUGGAUGAUCAGGUCAUAUUGCUGCGGGCAGGUCAGUGACCUUGGAUCCUUUUGACCUCUUGACAUUUGACCCCUCUUUGACUUCCCGACCUUUAGUGACCCCAAUGGCCUUACCUUGCAUACUCAGGGAGCCAAACUUGCUGACCUCACCAC